UACAGAGGGUGCAAGCGUUGUCCGGAAUCACUGGGCGUAAAGCGUUUGUAGGCGGCUCUGUAAGUCGGGUGUGAAAUCCCACGGCUCAACCGUGGAAGUGCAUUCGAAACUGCAGGGCUUGAAUAUGGAAGAGGAGAGUAGAAUUCCAGGUGUAGUGGUGAAAUACGUAGAUAUCUGGAGGAAUACCGGUGGCGAAGGCGGCUCUCUGGUCCAAUAUUGACGCUGAGAAACGAAAGUGCGGGGAUCAAACAGG
rnacentral:rRNA from 1 species